GAUGAACGCUGGCGGCGUGCCUAAUACAUGCAAGUCGAGCGAACGGACGAGAAGCUUGCUUCUCUGAUGUUAGCGGCGGACGGGUGAGUAACACGUGGAUAACCUACCUAUAAGACUGGGAUAACUUCGGGAAACCGGAGCUAAUACCGGAUGAUAUUUUGAACCGCAUGGUUCAAUAGUGAAGGACGGUCUUGCUGUCACUUAUAGAUGGAUCCGCGCUGCAUUAGCUAGUUGGUAAGGUAACGGCUUACCAAGGCAACGAUGCAUAGCCGACCUGAGAGGGUGAUCGGCCACACUGGAACUGAGACACGGUCCAGACUCCUACGGGAGGCAGCAGUAGGGAAUCUUCCGCAAUGGGCGAAAGCCUGACGGAGCAACGCCGCGUGAGUGAUGAAGGUCUUCGGAUCGUAAAACUCUGUUAUUAGGGAAGAACAUAUGUGUAAGUAACUGUGCACAUCUUGACGGUACCUAAUCAGAAAGCCACGGCUAACUACGUG
rnacentral:rRNA from 1 species